GCGUUGCUUUCGACAUUAGCGGAAAACCCACUCGUUGCUUUGCAACGAGCUUUGCUCUAGUUAUUAUUUUUUUUUUUCCCGCAAAUUUUGUGCACGAGAUUUCUCGAAUAUUUUUUGUCUGAUUGCUAUGAAACUUUCAGGGUAUGUAGAUGAUAUUAAUAUCUCUAGACGUUUUUUUCAAAUUUUUAAAAUUUACUUCCGGUUAUGAGUUAUUGCCCUUUAAUUGAAAAUUGGGGGGUCUUUUGUCCAGAGUUGAUCUCGGGAACUACAGAUGAUAGAUGCAUGAAAUUUGGCGAAAUUGUCGGUAACAUUUUAUAGUUUUGCUGGCAUGAAAAUUUUGGUAAUUUCUUUGUUAGUUUUUGAGCUAUUUGUCGCCAAAGUUUAAGAUUUUUCGGGGCUGAAAUUUUGUUGCUUUUUGUAUUAUAACCUUUAAACUAAAAAUAUUUUGUUAAUACAUAUAGAACAAAAGUUGUUUAGAAUAACGAGAGCUUUCAUUUAAAAUUAAGAAAAAAGGGCUGGCCCCUAUAAUUAGGGGUCAGCAGCUCAUACACGUAUUUUUCUGAUAGCAAAAAUCGUUAUCAUUUUAUGAAAAAAAAUUAAUUCAGUUAUUGUUAAUAUAUUAAAUAAUGUCAUUUGGUAUCAAAUUAAACAAGUUCUGUGCUAUAUUUUUUUUCAAAUUUCAUAAAACAAAUAUGUGAGAAUCGUACAUGAACGAGUUAAUAUGUCUACAUAGACACACAAGCAAACAAAUGCCACAUUAAGGCCCAGGCAUUUACUGCAUUACGUUGUGUUGCGUCUUAGAUAAAUUGUUGUGAUUCAAUUUCAUUUUUUUCAUCUAUAUCAUUUAUGAAUUCAAUGAACACACAUUAUUUAAACGUUCUAUGUGCAACUAUUUGUCGGGGCUCCCCUGUUUGUAACCCCCGCGCGCGCGCGCCGAAUGUAAACAGUAACGAACGGCAUUGUAGAAAAGAGAGAGCCGUAAUGCAGAAGAGAAGUUGUGUAUUCUUUCGGUGUACACAUGCAUUUUCAAUUUGCUGUGAAACAUAUGAACAUGCACAGGGAACAAUAUUACAUAUUUGUUUAAGGAGGAUAUUUUUCUCGUGUGAAUCGUUUACCGAGGAAAUUCUGACAGCCACACUUCUGUCGACGAUCAGCCGUUGAUAAGCUACGAGUGAUAAAGGAGAAAAGAUGGACAUUAAAGUGUGUGAUUUAUGUGGAUGUUACUGAAGAAGCUCAAAACAGACUCUUGUUACCACAUGGCUUUUACCGGUACCUGUUGAUUCUUGUGGGUCAGCUCCUGAGAUUAACCUGUCACCUCUAUCCACAUGCAUAUUCCUUGUGUUCUACAGACUAUUUACCGGUAAUUCAAAUUAAAUCCGAUAAUGCAUGACCAAUAAUGGAACUUGAAGAAAGCAUCAUGCCAUGUUGUGGUUUGUGUUUGAUAAGAAAUUAUGAAAACAAAAUUAAGGCUGUUUAAAGAAAUUCAUAAUUGCUGUGAAAAUUUGUUUUUCAAUAAAAGUAUACAAUUAUG